rnacentral:lncRNA from 1 species
UGGGUGAGUGUGGAGCUUGGGUCUUGCACAGAGUCACAGAUUUUGAGCGACGUGCUGGUUCCAGAUGAGGCCUCCACUUCUCCAGCCCUGAGCCUUGCUGUGUCCCGAGGCCCCAGUUUGCUGUGCUCCUCCACAGAUCCUCUGCUCCCUCUCCCCACUUCCUGCUUUUACAUCCGGGGCUCUCCGAGGGGAGAGCCUCCAGGGUCCCGUGGCUGCCAUGACAGCGUCAGAGGAACGGAUUCUCUCACAGGCCGGGCUGCGGGAAGUCUGAGACCCAGGGAUUGAGGGCAGGAUCCUUCCGGCCCACUCCAGAUUCAAAUUCUGGCCUCCUCUCCACAUGGCUCCGCCUCCUCCGCAUCUGUGCUCUCUCCAGCUGUGUCUGUGGGGACGCAGGGCCCCAAGUUCCCUGGAGUGAGUGCUCCGCAGAGCCUCCAAGACGAAGACAAUGGGAGCAGUCACCACGCGCGACCCCAGGGCCCUUGCUCCUGGCAGCAGAAGGAGGGAUAAGAAAAUGCAGGCUCAACUUGCACCAGUUCACAGGGGCUGGUGCCACACCAACGGCUGUGCUGUGCCAUCUGCUCCUGUCCUGUGCUGGCUAAUAAACUCCUAAAUACCAAA